rnacentral:rRNA from 1 species
AAAUUGAAGAGUUUGAUCAUGGCUCAGAUUGAACGCUGGCGGCAGGCCUAACACAUGCAAGUCGAACGGUAGCACAGAGAGCUUGCUCUCGGGUGACGAGUGGCGGACGGGUGAGUAAUGUCUGGGAAACUGCCUGAUGGAGGGGGAUAACUACUGGAAACGGUAGCUAAUACCGCAUAACGUCGCAAGACCAAAGAGGGGGACCUUCGGGCCUCUUGCCAUCAGAUGUGCCCAGAUGGGAUUAGCUAGUAGGUGGGGUAACGGCUCACCUAGGCGACGAUCCCUAGCUGGUCUGAGAGGAUGACCAGCCACACUGGAACUGAGACACGGUCCAGACUCCUACGGGAGGCAGCAGUGGGGAAUAUUGCACAAUGGGCGCAAGCCUGAUGCAGCCAUGCCGCGUGUAUGAAGAAGGCCUUCGGGUUGUAAAGUACUUUCAGCGGGGAGGAAGGUGUUGUGG